AUGUUGGAGAAGAGAGAAAUUAUUGGUUCAGUCCAAUUGAUAUCGAAGAUUGGAAUCUGAAUGGUUGACAGUGGUGGAAUGCAGAUACGUUGGAUUAGCUUCUAAUUUGGAAAAGAAGAAUGGUAAGGGUCUGGGUAUUUGGAUCUGUUUUUGCUGUUUAUUGUGUGUACUCGGUGAAAUUAUGGGUAUGUGAAAUAUUAGAAAUGAAAGUGGUACUUGUUGUUUGAGUUAUGUUGGAAACCUUGCAUGAUAGAGGAAAAGGAUGAAAUCAGUUUAGUAUAGAGGAAAUUGGUCUUGUGAAUUAGCAAAAAUUCGUUAUCAACGUUGAAGUGUAAAAUAAGAAUGUCUAUAACUAUCAUUUCGGAU
rnacentral:lncRNA from 1 species